rnacentral:tRNA from 1 species
AGGGAGUUAGCUCAGAUGGUAGAGCGUUGCAAGGAUCGUGGGUUCGAGUCCCACACUCCCUA